GCAAGUGUUAUCCGUAUUUACUUGGUGUAAAGGGAGAGUAGGCGGGAUGGCAAGUCAGAUGUGAAAACUAUGGGCUCGACUCAUAGCUUGCAUUUGAAACUGUUGUUCUUGAGUGUCGGAGAGGUAGAUCGAAUUCCCUGUGUCGCGGUGAAAUGCGUAGCUAUUGGGAAGAACACCCGUCGCGGAGGCGGUCUACUGGACGAUUUAUGACGUGGAGACACGAAAGUGUGGGAGCAACCAGAAUUGAUACCCUGGUAGUCCACACUGUAAAGAUGGAUGCUAGGGGUUAGGGGCGAUUACGCUUCUGUGCCGCAGUAAACACAAUAAGCAUUCCACCUGGGGAGUACGGCCGCAAGGUUGAAACUCAAAGGAAUUGACGGGAGCCCGCACAAGCAGUGGAGUAUGUGGUUUAAUUCGACGCAACGCGAAGAACCUUACCGAAGCUUGACAUCCCGGGAAGGCUGCUGUAAUGGCGGCUGUGCCCCUUCGGGGGAAUCCGGUGACAGGUGGUGCAUGGUUGUCGUCAGCUCGUGUCGUGAGAUGUUGGGUUAAGUCCCGCAACGAGCGCAACCCUUACGGUUAAUUACUACGCAAGAGUACCUUAACCGGACUGCCGUUGACAAAACGGAGGAAGGUGGGGACGACGUCAAAUCAUCAUGCCCCUUACGCUUCGGGCUACACACGUACUACAAUGGUGAGAACAAAGGGAAGCCAAGGCGCGAGCCGGAGCAAAUCCCAUAAAAAUCAUCCCAGUUCGGACUGCAGGCUGCAACUCGCCUGCACGAAGUUGGAAUUGCUAGUAAUCGCGGAUCAGCAUGCCGCGGUGAAUACAAUCCCGGGCUUUGCACUCACCGCCCGUCAA
rnacentral:rRNA from 1 species